rnacentral:rRNA from 1 species
UACAGAGGUGGCAAGCGUUGUUCCGAUUUACUGGGCGUAAAAGGGUUGCGUAAGGCGUUUGCGUGUGUCGGAUGUGAAAAUCUCACUGUUCAUCGGUGAAACUGCAUUCGAAACUACGUAACUCGAGUACUGGAGAGGAGAGCGGAGUUCUUGGUGUAGCGGUGAAAUGCGUUGAGAUCAAGAAGAACGCCGGUGGCGAAGGCGGCUCUCUGGACAGAAACUGACGCUGAGGCACGAAAGCUAGGGGAGCAAACAGGAUUAGAUACCCUGGUAGUCCUAGCCGUAAACGUUGUGCACUUGGUGUGGGAGGAGUUUACCCCUUCCGUGCCGUAGCUAACGUGUUAAGUGCACCGCCUGGGGAGUACGGCCGCAAGGCUAAAACUCAAGGAAAUUGACGGGGGCCCGCACAAGCGGUGGAGCAUGUGGCUUAAUUCGAUGCAACGCGAAGAACCUUACCUGGGCUUGACAUGGCGAGACUUCGGUCUAAACCGGUGAAAGUCGGUUGAACGCACACAGGUGCUGCAUGGCUGUCGUCAGCUCGUGCCGUGAGGUGUUGGGUUAAGUCCCGCAACGAGCGCAACCCUUGUGGGUAGUUGCCACCCCCGUUCUGCGGGGAGCACUCUACUCAGACUGCCCGUGACAAGCGGGAGGAAGGUGGGGAUGACGUCAAGUCCGUAUGGCCCUUAUGCCCAGGGCUGCACACGUGCUACAAUGGUCGGUACAGAAAGAUGCAAGACCGCGAGGUGGAGCAAAUCUCCAAAACCGGCCCCAGUUCGGAUUGCAGUCUGCAACUCGACUGCAUGAAGCCGGAAUCGCUAGUAACGGCGUAUCAGCUACGACGCCGUGAAUACGUUCCCGGGCGUUGUACACACCGCCCGUCACAUCAUGAAAGCCGAUUGUACCCGAAGUCGUCGAU